UAUUCACAAGGGUAUGACAGUGUGAGCUUAUUCCAUUUAAAGAGCCAGGAGAUUUAUUCACGACAAUCCAUGUCAUCAGAAUAUAAAUAUACAGUUACUUUGCCUCUGAAGGAUUCACAGACCUUUUGUACUUAACAGACUGGACUGAGGAGGAAUCAGUUCAAAGAAAUGACAGGCUGACUCUAGAUGGAGGAGCAGUCAUCUGAAUUGUAUCUUGGGUAUUCUGAGCUUCUGGAACAAACCACAUGAAACUCAAGAAGAAGGAAGGCCAAAGUGUGGACACUUCCAUCCUUCUUAGAAGGGGGAACAAAAUACCUAUGGAAGGAGUUACAGAGACAAAGUGUGGAGCAGAGACUGAAGGAAUGACCAUCGAGAGACUGCUUCAUCUGGGGAUCCAUCCCAUAUACAGUCACCAAACCCAGAAACUAUUGUAGAUGGCAACAAGUGCUUGCUGACAGGAGCCUGAUAUAGCUGUCUCCUGAGGCUCUGCCAGUGCCUGACAAAUACAGAGGUGGAUGCUCACAGCCAUUCAUGGGACUGAGCACAGGGUCCCUAAUGAAGGAGCUAGAGAAAAGACCUAAGGAGCUGAAGGGUUUUGCAGCCCCAUAGGAGGGACAACCAUAUAAGCUAAGCAGUACCCCUAGAGCUCCCAGGGACUAAAUCACCAAUUAAAGAAUACACAUGGUGGGACACAUGGCUCUAGCUGCGUAUGUAGCAGAGGAUGGCCUAGUUGGUCAUCAAUGGGAGGAGAGUCCCUUGGUCCUGUGAAGGCUCUAUGUCCCAGUGCAGGGGAAUGCUAGGGCCAGGAAGCAGGAGUGGGUGGGUUGGUGAGGGGGGCAGGGCGGGAAGGGGAUAAGGAGUUUUCUUAGGGGAAACCAGGAAAGGGGAUAACAUUUGAAAUGUAAAUAAAGAAAAUAUCUAAUAAAAAAUGGAAAAAAAGAGUCAUUUGAGACACUUAAUUUGAAGAGCUAUGGAGAAAAGAUUUAAAUGAAACGUGAGAAAGUAAACUGAAAUUUAGUAACAACUUUCUCUCCCCACAGACCUUAACAUAUGUAAUAGAUUUAUAUGUCUUAUUGUAAACACUGUUACAUCUUCCCUCCACCUGCUAGAGGGAGUUGGAGAAUAUGCUUUUAAGAAGAAAGAUAAAUGAACCAAAUGUCACCAAGCCCCAGGGGGAUCAGAGAUGGUGAAACAAGAGGUUCAGUGUUCUGAUUUCCUUUUCUAAUGCAUGUAGUGAGAUAACUUUCAACUAAUCUCUGAAACCACACAGCUGAGUCUGCCCUCUGCCUAGGCUAAGAAAUAUUUGCCCCAAAUGAAUGAAGCAGAUGAGUGAAUAAUCACCCUCACAUUUUAGUUAUAUGAAUAGCUUGAGAGGAAUGAUAUGAGUAGAUACUGUAUUAUAACUGUAUUUUAACUGUAUUUUAAAGAACUGUAUACAAUGAUAUUUAUGUAUAUUUUUUAUUAUUUCCAAGCUAGAUUCUCUUAAGUGAUGAUUCUAAAUGGUGUAGCACGUUGUCUUAGGAUUUUACUGCUGUGAACAGACACCAUGACCAAGGCGGUCUUAAAGGCUGGUUCACAGGUUCAGAGGUUCAGUACAUUAUUAUUAAGGCAGGAGCAUGGCAGCAUCCAGGCAGGCAUAGUGCAGGAGGACGUGAAUGUUCUACUUCUUCAUCUGAAGGCUGCUAACAGAAGACUGGUUUCCAGGAAGCUAGGAUGAGGAUAUUAAGGCUACAACGUUCUAAUAGUGCCACUCCCUGGGCCAAACAUAUACAAACCAUUGUACACUUUGAUGCCAUUUUUUCCCCCCUAGGUGACUCAAACAAUCAACUACCAUCAAGGACUCUUGAGCUUCAAGGCACUGUAGUUCUGGUGACUUUGUGGGUUUUACAUAUGGAUAUAGAAAUAGAAUGUACUUGAAAAUCAGGUAGAUUUACCACAACCUUGAAUAACAUUGAAUUUGACAAAAGGAAGAAAGCAAGUGAGAAGGACUGAAAUUAACACUUGAAGAAAAGAAGGACUGAGGGGAAGGGAUCUACAGACUUUACAGAUCCUAUUCAACUGAAAACAUUUCUCAGCAUGUAAACUGAGAGAUUGUAGUCAACUCAUGAUAGGUGAAGAAAAGCAGUAACCAAUGAUAAAGACUAAUUCAGUUGAUAAAUCAUCAAUACUUCAGUAAGUAUGUGCAUCAUGAAUUUUAGCUAUCUUUUGAUUAGCAUACUGACUAUGUGACAUAGUUGGCUUAAGAAUACCCCAGAUAUAAGAUACAAUUUGCGAAACACAUGAAACUCAAGAAGAAGGACGACCAAAGUGUGGACACUUUGCCCCUUCUUAGAAUUGGGAACAAAACACCCAUGGAAGCAGUUACAGAGACAAAGGUUGGAGCUGAGACAAAAGGAUGGACCAUCUAGAGACUGCCAUAUCCAGGGAUCCAUCCCAUAAUCAGCCUUCAAAUGCUGACACCAUUGCAUACACUAGCAAGCGUUUGCUGAAAGGACCCUGAUAUAGGUGUCUCUUGUGAGACUAGGCUGGGGCCUAGCAAACACAGAAGUGGAUGCUCACAGUCAGCUAUUGGAUGGAUCACAGGGCUCCCAAUGGAGGAGCUAGAGAAAGUACCCAAGGAGCCAAAGAGAUCUGCAACCCUAUAAGUGGAACAACAUUAUGAACUAACCAGUACCCCGGAGCUCUUGACUCUAGCUGCAUAUGUAUCAGAAGAUGGCCUGGUCGGCCAUGAGUGGAAAGAGAGGCCCAUUGGUCAUGCAAACUUUAUAUGCCUCAGUACAGGGGAACGCCAGGGCCAAGAAGUGGGAGUGGGUGGGUAGGAGAGUGGGUGGGGGUAUGGGGGACUUUUGGGAUAGCACUGGAAAUGUAAAUGAAGAAAAUACCUAAUUAAAAAAUAAAAAGAAUCGGUGGUUGUAAGCAACGUCAUUGGAGAUUACCUUGAUAAAUGGGACUAAGAAAGUGCUAGUUCUGUUUAACCCAGGAGGUCUCUUAGUGAUUGUGUUUCAAAUACUCAGGCUAGGUCAUGCUUGCUUCUCAGUUUUGUGUUCUGUGCAGACACUGGGAAAUGUUAUUUAAAGAACGUGUUUUUGAUAGCCAGGAGAUAACUAGAUUUGGGAAGGAGCAGAUUUAGGGUUGUAAAUUAGAAGAAUGACAUAACAUUUUAUGAAAAUAUUAAGUCUUUAAUGCGCUUUCUACAUUUGUAAUUUCUCAAAGAGGAAUGCUGUAAAGAGAGUAAGUCUAGCUAAGAUAUAGAAAUGCUUUUAUAUUAUAGUAAAUCAGCUUUUUUUGAGUAUAUGUAGUGUUUUAUAACAUACUGAAUUAUACUCAAUUGGGACAUAUUUGUAGGCCCACUCACAUAUCUGUGUUUAUUUCUCCAUCCACACAGGUAUUUAUUUACAAUUCAUUAAAAUAUAAAAUGUUUUAAGGGGCUCAAUAUAAAAAUAAGUGCAUGCUGAAAUGUAUUUUAUAGUAAUUACACUUGGUAGUGAUUUAAUAUGCGAAUCUUGUUUUCCUAAUUACAGUAUUUCAAUAGAUCCUGAUUGAUACUGUCUGCCUCGUGUGCAUAAAGGGCACUGUUAGGACAUUGCCUCUUUAUUUAGUUUCCAAUAAAUCCAUAUGCUGUAAUGCAAAAUUCUAGUUUUUCAAAAACUUUCUAUUAAUAUGCAUGACAUUCCUUUGCCUGUUUCCAAGCAUGGACUCUGGCUAAUGUAAGGUAUCCGUAUCAUCAGAGCAUAAUCUCCUUCCUGCUCAUCCAGAUCUGCUCAGACACUCAGUUCUUUCACCUACACGUACACUUUCCCCAUCUUCAGCCAUUGUGAACUCUAUCUGUUUGCCCACAAAUGAUUCCUUUUUGCAUUUUAACAGAGUAUUCAUUCAAGAAAAUUCUCAGUUCCAAAUUUGUUGUUUAAAAAAUCAGCUAUAUGUAUUUAUUUAUGCCUAUAUAAAUGGUAUACCAAGAGUUUCUUUCUAUCAUUUGUUCACCCAUUUAACCUGGUUUAUGGGGACUUACUGCAUUCUGUAUUCUUAUUUUAUAAAACCAUUGUGAAUCUGACACAUUUCCGAUCUGACCACUACAGCAAUCCUUUGACUCCUCAUACAUGAAGUUAAAGUCUUGUGUAAAAUGUAAAACCUAUAUUUAAAAUCAGUGUCCAGGUGUUUUAGUUUUUGUUCAUAGUCACAUAAGGGCAUGUGAACACAAUUGAACCAAUUAUGAAAUCACAAGUCACUCUAGUGGUGAUGAAAAAGAGGUUAGACAAUAAUGUCAUCAGUUUCUCUAAGUACAGACAUUCCAUCAGCCUUAGGUAAAGGGUAAGUAUUUCUAGGCAUCCAGACUUCCUUAAUGGCUGUCAGGUGUGCACUGAAAAUUUGGUACUCCCUCAGGGAGGUGGUAACAAUCCAUCAAGGUUAAAACUAGUAUGCCUUUCAAGACACAUAGAUCAUCUGGCAUCAUUGUCAGCUUGGUGUCCUGUCAGAUGGACACUGUGGAUUCUAAGGAUUUCACAAAGCUUUGCUUGUACAUGGCGUUCAUAGAUGAACACAUGGGUUUUACAUCGCCAUCAAACCUCUCCACCAUUUUAUUCUAAACAGAAUAACUGAACACUUACAUUAGGGAUAAAAUAAUAUCAUACUCUUAUGGAAAAAAGACUAAAGACACUUAAAAAAAUACAGCAUAAAAAUUUCCCCAAUGUGAAGGGGCUGCCCAUAUCUUUGGAGAAGUCGGUCUAUACUAACUAAACCUUAAAAUGCAUUUUAAUGGUCAUGUGCUUCUCUGUAACUCAGAAGACUUUCCUGUUUUUUUUUUUUUUUCUAGAACCUGUGUCACAUUUACAAUGCUUCUCAUGGUGGGAGAGAGAAGAGAGGGGAUAUAGUAAUAUCAUAAGAAUUAGAGAAAUAGAAAAAUAGGAAUCGGUUAUCAAAUUUACUCUUACACAAAACAUUCCAUAGCUAUAUCAUACACUGGUAGAAAUCUUUAUUAUUUUUUUUUCUGGUUCUUUUUUUUUAAUUAGGUAUUUUCCUCGUUUACAUUUUCAAUGCUAUCCCAAAGGUCCCCCAUACCCAUCCCCCCAAUCCCCUACCCACCCACUCCCCCUUUUUGGCCCUGGUGUUCCCCUGUACUGGGGCAUAUAAAGUUUGCAAGUCCAAUGGGCCUCUCUUUGCAGUGAUGGCCAACUAGGCCAUCUUUUGAUACAUAUGCAGCUAAAGACAAGAGCUCCAGGGUACUGGUUAGUUCAUAUUGUUGUUCCACCUAUAGAGUUGCAGUUCCCUUUAGCUCCUUGGGUAAUUUCUCUAGCUCCUCCAUUGGAGGCCCUGACUGUGAGCUGACUGUGAGCAUCCACUUCUGUGUUUGCUAGGCCCCGGCAUAGUCUCACAAGAGAGAGCUAUAUCUGGGUUCUUUCAGCAAAAUCUUGCUAGUGUAUGCAAUGGUGUCAGCAUUUGGAAGCUGAUUAUGGGAUGGAUCCCUGCAUAUGGCAAUCACUAGAUGGUCCAUCCUUUCGUCACAGCUCCAAAUUUUGUCUCUGUAACUCCUUUUAUGGGUGUUUUGUUCCCAUUUCUAAGAAAGGGUAAAGUGUCCACACUUUGGUCUUUGUUCUUCUUGAAUUUCAUGCGUUUGGCAAGUUGUGACUUUCCUGUUUUGUUUGUUAUUGGGACAAUGACGGUAGAAUUUAAGUUAUCAAAUAAGUGGAUGGGAUUUUAUGACAGAUAAAGUUUUGUAUAUUAACUAAAUAUUAAACACAAUUCUUUAAAAUGCCUACUCAUGUAUAUAUAUGUAAAAUAAAAUUUGUUAGGAUUAUGAUAUUGUUUGAAUUCUAUAUUGGUUAAAAUUUUUCUUUUGUUCUUGAUAUUAUAGUAUAAUUACAUCAUUUACUUCUUCCCCUUCCUCCCACCAAAGCCUCUCAUAUACCUCUUUCUUUCUUUUCAAACUCACAGCCUGUGUUUUUACUUAGUUAUUAUUAUUUGAAUAUGUGUAUAUAUACAUGAGCAUUCCUAAAUAAUGUCUACUCCAUGUGUAUAAUGUCACUUUUUUUUGUAUAUGUUAAGGGCUAACCAAUUGGUUUUGGACAUUUUACUUUUAUUUAAACAAUAUUUUUCUGUAAUUCUUUUUAUGGCCUACAAAUGUAGACUUAAGUAGAAAAGAUUUAUCUCGAUGUUAAAUUUUUGAAAAUGCAUAGUUAACAAAUAUAUAUGAUGAAAAGAGUAGACAACCACUUGAAUCUGUAUUUCCAUGUUCUAGAAUACAGUUAACAUUUUGUAUUGUUAAUUCUUGAAAAAACUGUUGAAAUUAAUAUUCUGUUUAAUUCCUAUAACUUAUAAAAAAACUGAUGUUCACAGGGCAUAGGCAACUUGUUCAGCUGAGUGAAAAUAAAAUCUGAAACCAAA